AACGAACGCUGGCGGCAUGCCUAACACAUGCAAGUCGAACGAGACCUUCGGGUCUAGUGGCGCACGGGUGCGUAACGCGUGGGAACCUGCCCUUGGGUUGGGAAUAACUCCCCGAAAGGGGUGCUAAUACCGGAUAAGUUCUUGGGACAAAGGAUUUAUCGCCUUUGGUUGGGCCCGCGUUGGAUUAGCUAGUUGGUAGGGUAAAAGCCUACCAAGGCGACGAUCCAUAGCUGGUCUGAGAGGAUGAUCAGCCACACUGGGACUGAGACACGGCCCAGACUCCUACGGGAGGCAGCAGUGGGGAAUAUUGGACAAUGGGCGAAAGCCUGAUCCAGCAAUGCCGCGUGAGUGAUGAAGGCCUUAGGGUUGUAAAGCUCUUUUACCCGGGAUGAUAAUGACAGUACCGGGAGAAUAAGCUCCGGCUAACUCCGUG
rnacentral:rRNA from 1 species